rnacentral:rRNA from 1 species
UACGUAGGGUGCGAGCGUUGUCCGGAUUUAUUGGGCGUAAAGAGCUCGUAGGCGGUUUGUCGCGUCGGCCGUGAAAUCUCCACGCUUAACGUGGAGCGUGCGGUCGAUACGGGCAGACUUGGGUUCGGUAGGGGAGACUGGAAUUCCUGGUGUAGCGGUGAAAUGCGCAGAUAUCAGGAGGAACACCGGUGGCGAAGGCGGGUCUCUGGGCCGAUACUGACGCUGAGGAGCGAAAGCGUGGGGAGCGAACAGG